GACGAACGCUGGCGGCGUGCUUAACACAUGCAAGUCGAACGGAAAGGCCCUGCUUUUGUGGGGUGCUCGAGUGGCGAACGGGUGAGUAACACGUGAGUAACCUGCCCUUGACUUUGGGAUAACUUCAGGAAACUGGGUCUAAUACCGGAUAGGAGCUCCUGCUGCAUGGUGGGGGUUGGAAAGUUUCGGCGGUUGGGGAUGGACUCGCGGCUUAUCAGCUUGUUGGUGGGGUAGUGGCUUACCAAGGCUUUGACGGGUAGCCGGCCUGAGAGGGUGACCGGCCACAUUGGGACUGAGAUACGGCCCAGACUCCUACGGGAGGCAGAAGUGGGGAAUAUUGCACAAUGGGCGGAAGCCUGAUGCAGCAACGCCGCGUGCGGGAUGACGGCCUUCGGGUUGUAAACCGCUUUCGCCUGUGACGAAGAGUGAGUGACGGUAAUGGGUAAAGAAGCACCGGCUAACUACGUG
rnacentral:rRNA from 1 species